CCCUUGAUGGUCUAGUUGGUUAUGGCGUCCGGCUGUAAUAGUUUAAUUGUAACCGGAAAAUCCCUGGUUCGAUUCCGGGUCGAGGGA
rnacentral:tRNA from 1 species